GCCGAGGUAGCUCAGUCGGUAGAGCAGCGGAUUGAAAAUCCGCGUGUCGCCGGUUCAAUCCCGGCUCUCGGCA
rnacentral:tRNA from 1 species